GUUUCCGCUCUCGCUCUGUUUUUCUUGGUCGUUGCUGGUGCGGGCCCAUCCGGACGAGGUGCCCGUUACGGUGGGCCGAUGCAUGACAUAUACAAAUGACCGGGUCCGGGUGUCCUGUACCAGUAUCAGGGCUAACCGAGAGGUGUUCAAUCGGACAUCAGGACGCUGGAGUCUGGACGCGUGUUCACUGGACCCGAGGAAGGCUCAACCGCUUCUAUUUUUAGACCAGAGUGAUACUUAAUUCUGAACAUGCUCCAAACUGAAAGAUCACACGCGAUGACUUCACUUCUCGAGGAAAGCUCUGUAGUCUCUGCAAGCAGAAAUUCCAUGAACCGUGUUAUCCGUUGCCGGGAGAAUAUUUUAUGUACUCCAAUUGAACAUGUACGUUAAGCCAAUUGUGAAUGAGCACAAUUAUCAUGAUUCUAAAUUUCU